AUAUCUCUCUGUCGAAAACAGGAGCAACUGGUUUUGCUAAAUCCUGCAGUCAACCUAUCUUUUUCUAACGCCUCAGGAGAAGCAGAAAACGAGAGAGACAACAAUUGGAUAGGAAAAGGGAAGUUCGGGGCAGGCGGGGAGGGGAAGUCACCUGCUCAUUAUUUCGCUGCUCCCUGAAGUCCUCUGAAUUCAGUCGUAAAAUUACGUAUAUAAUGAGCAUUGUCUACCUUCCUUUCUCCUUUUACUUUACUAUAAAAUUUCUCGAUAUGGUGGCUUCUCUGCCUUUUCAUGCUUUCUCCCCUUCUCUUUUUAAUCCCUAAAAAUCUAGUUACUGACACCUCCCAGUCUGAUCUGGAUAUCUUAGUCACCAAACUAAAUGAUCAGUCCUCAAUAUUUAUUUUUCUUAAGCUUAGAUGCUGUUGACUGCUCGCUGCUUGAAUUUCUCCUGAUAAGAAACUGAUCUUCUUUUCUUUCCUUCUACAUCUUUGGUCUCUGGAUUUGCUUUUUCCUUUCAUUUGUUCUUUCUCACACCCCUAACAAGCAGACAUUUCACCAUCUUUACAACCACAUUUUCUUUCUUAAUCGUAUAUUUUCUCCCUUGCUGAUUUCAUUCACUCUCAUAUUUGCAGUCAUCGUCUCUGUGUACAACCAAAAAUUUCCACUUUUAGCCCCAAUUUCUCUUUCUCUAGCUUCUGAUUUUCCAGCUACAUGCUGGAACAUUCUGACUCAAUGUUAAUUGACAUAUGAAACUUUUAACAUAUGCAAAUAUGAACUACUCUACUGUCCUAGACCUUUUUCUCUGGAUGUCUCAACAUCUGUCAAUGGUCCUCCACCAUCUUCCAAGGGGCUCCACAAAGCCCAGACAUGGGCUUCCUAAGGUGUGACUUUCCUGAAAUAAGCGCAAAACAUUGUGUGUAUUACUUUUCUAUUACUGUUUCUCAGAAAAGUUUUUAGAAAUUUUAUCAGUGUUUCAAGGAGGUCAGAUACCCCCAAAAAAAGAAAAAAAAAGCUUAAAAACUACUGUGGCACUGCUGGAUUUAACACCUAUUUUUCUAUUCCUAUAUGUAUAUGUUAAUCUUAUAAUUAGCUCACAAAUCCAUAUUUCUAGCUUGUUUUUCAAUCAUUUUGAUCACAUUUCUUAGCUAUUAUAUACUGGAAUAAAUUAUCAGUUUUUGGUUUGGUUUUGCUCAAAAACAGAGAAGAAACGGAAACUUCUCUGUCCAGAAAAGGAAGUGUAAAUCUUAGAUGAUGAUUUGGUAUACAAAAUUAUGAAAUUAUCUUUAAAUUUUAAAAAUUUAAAUCAUUUUACUUCUAUCGCCAAAGAUAUAAUUUGGUCUUCAAAAAUUGUACCAUUUGUGUGUGUGGACAGCCUAGUUUUGUGCCUAUCUCAGAUCAGGAACUCAUGUGUAAAACUAAAAGGUCAAUUUGAAAUAUCUGGCUGUUUGGCAUCGGAUGAGGAAGGACUGUGCUCUCAACUAAUUCAACUGUUACAAUAUCAGGGUAAUGAUUCUAAGAAAACAUAUCUGAGCCUUUGUUUGAAUGAAUUAGAUUGCUCUUUGUACAAAAUGACAUCAAAAGCUGUUCUCCUCACACAGACAGAUUAUGUUCAUAUCUGGUCCUUUUUUUCUUUUAGUUUUCGUCCUGAAGUUUAAUGGCAUGUAGAUAUGACUUCCUGGUCAGAAAAUUAACCACCCUGUUAAACUGCUUACUUUUCUUUUUAUAUGGAGUAAUUCUGUUUUGUAUUGACUCUCAUCUCACUUAUCACUAUGAAAUAAAGCUUAUAAAUUCAACUUCCUUACCUAUAUAUAAAUUAAUGUAUUUAUAUUUUCUGUGCCAGAGUCUGUAGUAGGUGUCGAAACACAAAGAACAAGACCCAGUUCCUACACUUAAGGAGCACAAAGUCUAACAAAUAUGUAUUGACCUUACAAAAUAUUGCUGUAUUUAUACUAGUAUUAUUACUACUAUUAUUCAUUUUUAAUGAUUAUUAUACCUAGUCCCAGCAAAGGGCAUAUAUACACUUUUUAUGAUAAUACAGAUUACUUGCAAGAAACAGUAUUCUCUAAUAUAAGCAAGAUUUUCUUUAUAAAGGUGGAGAAAUGUUGUCAAUUUUCUCCUUGAACUUCUACCCCCUUGUAAUCAGGAACUAAUUAAUUAAUUAGAUAAUAUUUCUAAAGUGCAUUGAAGAUGAGCAGCCUUACACAAAUGCUAAGUAUUUUAAAGUCAUGUAUUGCCUCAUAUACUAGACAGGAUUCUUAAAAGUUUGGAAAGGACAAUUUGAACAAAUUACAUUUCAUCUAAAUGAAAAAUCUAGGCAUAUACUGAAGGCAGGGGGUAGGCAGAAGUAGGAAAGGUUGGAUGGAAAAGUGCAAGUGUAAUCAAGGGAAGGAGAAUGACCCUUUACAUUUCUCUCUAUCAUCAUAAGACAAAAGAGACACAUGCACCUUUCUGAAACUGGUGAAAGAGAAUACAAAUUUUUAAAAAUGAAAUAGUAUUAUCAUUUUUCUCAAACUUUUUGCAAUCGUUGAUAGAACCAGGUCAGUGCUUCCCAAUGAAAGUGAUUAUUUUAUGUUUUUGGAACUUAAUUCAAGACCAAAAUAUCCAAUUUGGAAUCCUCAUGAUCUAGAUUUGGACUGCCUAAAUUUGUGAGAUAAUUAUCAAUACUUGCUUCAUUGUGAAUUGCAUAGCCCAAGACAAUACCAAUGCCUGGUAAGGUUAGAGGGAAAAGGAAUUGAGGCUGAUGCUCCACCGCUGAUCAAUGUAGAAAACUAAGCUCUGACAUGAGCUUUGGGACUAAUGACUUCUCAACCUGAGUAAAUCACUCAGAUAACUUAUUAGACCUACACUUAGUGUUGCGGUUUUUAAACAUGAGCCAUAUGGGAAGUUCAACUCUCAAAGGAAUUAUAUCUGCUUCAGUUAAGGGUGGUUAUGGAAGUAUGGAACCUUUCCAUACUUCCUUUUGGGGGGGGGGCGUCUUUUUAGGGCCACACCUAUGGCAUAUGCAAGUUCCCAGACUAGGGGUCAAAUCAGAGCUGUAGCUGCCACAGCCACAGCAAGGCAGGAUCCAAGCCUCGUCUUCGACACACACUACAGCUCAUGGCAACACAUUGGGAUCCUUAACCCACCAAGCAAGGCCAGGGAUGGAACGCACAUCCUCAUGGAUACUAGUCUGGUUCAUUACUUCUGAGCCACAAUGGGAACUCCUCCAUACUUUCUUUUAAAGCCAGUAACACAGAUGUUUCAGAACGUGAGAAACAGAGGCCAAUAAGAAAGCAUUGCUAUUGUGUGGUGUUUCACUAUCCUGGAAUUCUUUUCAGUGCUUUCGGAUUAUGGCUGGUGUCAUUUUUUUCUUGUGGAUGUUUGAGGAACAGAUCUGAACCACAGAGUUCACUUGGCUUUAGCCAUAUUCGAGUAAGGUAAAGUACCCAGUACUCUGAGAGGAUGUAAUGAGGGCCCUAACUCUCUCAAGGCUGUUGAUCAGAGAGGGUGUCUAGGAGGAGGUGGGCUGUUAGCUAAGAAAUGAGUAAAUAGGACAAAAUGAGGCAAGGCUUUGGGGGAGUAAAGGGUGGCUUUCCAGGCAGAAGAAAGAGGGUGUGCAAAUGCCUUGUGCAUUCAAGGAACCAGAGGAAGACCCAGGUAGCUACAGCAAGAGCCAGUUAGCAUAAAUGAUGGUGUCUGAAAGUAUACAAUUAUAACUCCACCUCACUCAAAGUGGAAUAAAUGGUGUCAUCCAAUCUUUGUUAUCUCAUUGUAGACUCCAAGAAUUGGGUUUCUUUAUAAUUUUUCACGAUAACAGGAAAGAGCAACUAAAUAGAAUUUUUGGGUAAAUAGAGACCUAGUUACAGGACUUUUGUAAAGGUAAGUUCUCUACUGGGAAGCACUCCCAGAUUUUGAUUCAACUUGCUUAAUAGUCACAGUAUGUUUAUUCUAUUAUCUUCCUAUAAGGAAGCAAAUAGCCAUCAAUAUUGAAUGAGUGGUAAGGGAUCCCACAAGAUUUGACAAAGGAUCUUCCCAUACAGUUGUUUAGAGGACAAAUAUAAAUAAUGAGAAGGGUACUGGAGGUGGGGGUAGUAAGAGGAAGGGGAGCACUGUUGUUUUUGCUCUUACAACUGUCAUCAUAGCCAUAGUCAACCACAGUUAUGAGACUUCCAAUCAGUGAACUACACAGCUGACUUCAGGGCCUCUGAGCUUUCUUUUUCUUUUUCUUAUUUUUAGGGCACACCUGCGGCAUAUGGAAGUUCCCAGGCUAGGGGUCGAAUCAGAGCUACAGCUACUGGCCAAUGUCAGAGACACAGAAACCUGGGAUCCAAGCCACAUCUAUGACCUACACCAUAGCUCACAGCAAUGCCAGAUCGCCACCUACUGAGGGGGGCCGGGAAUUAAAUCCGCGGCAUCCUCAUGGAUUCUAGUCAGACUCAUUUCUGCUGAGCCACAACAGGAAAUCCCUCUGAGCUUUCAUUAAAGGGCACAAAUCAUCAGAGAAAGUGAGGGAGGAGUCAGUCCCAGAGCACCAAGGAUCAAAAUCAAGAAAAUGGAAGUUCAAGUAUCUAGUCUAAGUGGUAGGAACUGAGUGGAAAGAGAAUGACCAGGCCAAGGGAAAGCCUGGUCUGAAACCAAGAAAGAAAAUUUCUGCUAAAAAGUCAAAUUUCUUUGGUCAUCCCAUUUCUGGCAUUUGGGUGUGUCAGGCUGGACUAAAGUCCAAGUCUGAGGCAAACGGUUUUCCUCCUUAGGAAUCCUUUUUCCUUAUGGUACAAUGUGGGCCCAUCUAUUCAGCACCCACCUUAGUUUCACUCCUGAUCAGGCAAUGGCUAUUUCUGGGAGCACCAGGGCGUUUUAUGAAACUUUUUUCUGUAUCAAAGACUGAAUAGGUUCCCUCCCUUGAGAUUGAAUUCUGCAUAAUGGCAGCUAGUUUAUCAGAUCAACUCAUCUAUCUUAGCAUGUUCAUAAAUGUUUAUAUGACAGUGCAUUGCUUUUCUAAGGGAAAAGGAAUUUUUUCAGGGCAUUGCCUUAACCCAAAGAAUGGUUAUGGCCCAAGUUUUAUGCAGACAACCCAUGAAGCUCUUAUGAUCAAACAUAAGGUAUGAAAUCCACGCUUUGACUAAGAAAACCAGGGGGGUAACUACAUCUAUAUGGUAGUUGUGAAGAAAAUUGAAUCCUGAGGUCAGUUUGCCUUGGUUCAAAUCCUUGCUCUGCCUCUUAACCAGCAGUGUGACUUUGAGAUAGUUAGACACUCUCUCUGUUCUCAGUUUCUUCAUCUAUAAAAUUGGUAUAAUAAUAAUAGCUUAUGUGGUUGUCACGAGGAUAAACGAGUCAAAAGAUUUAAUUAUCUGGGGCAGGGCCACCUCUAUAUAGGAGUUAGUAAUCAUUACUGUUCUGGAUAGAGAGUAUAGCAUAUUGGUUAAGAACUCUGGCUCUGGCCUUAGACAUAUCUGUUCAAAUCCAAGUUUUCCUAUGUAUAAGGAGCUCUGAGAAACUACCCCAUUUCUCAGCCUCAGUUUCCUUAUCUACAAAGUGGGUGAUGAGAAUCAAAUCAGAUUUACGUGUCAUGAUUUUACACACAGUCAAUGUUAGCAAUUCUUUUUCUCCCAUUUCUCAUUUUGUUUGACUGUUUUUCCACAGGGUUAUAUUAUGUCAUGGUCUGUGAUAUCUGGAUGGAAGAUGUUUUUCUAUUGGUGUUAUAAAUAUCCAGAUUGAGAGGAAUAUUUUGAGUAAU
rnacentral:lncRNA from 1 species